UUUCAGCAAGAGAAAAUUAUAAAUGAAUUUUUGUAAAUAAAAUCUAAAUAUGACGGUGAAAAAAUAACAUUAAAAAAAAAAUCUACUGACCAAGAAAAUCGCUCUAGGAGAAAUAAUUUACGCAAUGAUGGCAUUAAAGAAACCCCGAAUGAAAACUGGAGUGGUUGUGAGAGGAUUGUAAAGGAAAUUUUUAAAACUUGACAUAUUAGAUGAAGUAGUGGUGGAACGAGCACAUCGAGUCGGUUCGGUUCAUCGAGUCGGUUCAUUCAAUAACAGCAAAACACCAAGAUCAAUUGUGUUAAAACUACUCAACUAUCAAGAUAAAAGCACAAUUUUAAAUUCAGUAAACAAACUCAAAUGAUCGGAAAUCAAUGUUAAUGAAGACUUCGCUCAAGAAACGAUGGAGAAAAAGGUUAUGGGAAAAAGUUAAAAAACCACAAAAUGAAGGAAAUGCUUGAAGAAAGUAGUUUUUAAUAAUGUGGUAAAAACCUUAGCAUUGAGCGAGCUAAGAACGAGCCAAAUUUUGAUUUGUCUUUGAAUUGGACUUUAACUUCUUUCAAACGAAAAUUAAAAGUUAUCUUUUCAGCAGAAAAUAUUUUUUCAUGUUUUUAUUUCUUUUAAAUUUUUCAUGUAUAUAAUAGUUUCAUAUAUUUCAUAUAAUUUAUCCAGUAUAUUUAUAUUUUAAAUGCAUAGUUAUAUAUAGUUUAUGUUGAUUUAUUGGUUAAUUUGAUUUUAUUGUCACUAUUAUUAUAUUGUAAAGGGCUUCAUGAUAAGAACGAUCUUCUGAAAGUCCUGCGGAUUAUAUUUGUAAUAAAGCUAUUCUGUAAUUAUAAUUUCUUUUAUUGAAGUAUAUUA